CCUACGGGAGGCAGCAGUAGGGAAUAUUGCUCAAUGGGGGAAACCCUGAAGCAGCAACGCCGCGUGGAGGAUGAAGGUUUUCGGAUUGUAAACUCCUUUUGUUAGAGAAGAUAAUGACGGUAUCUAACGAAUAAGCACCGGCUAACUCCGUGCCAGCAGCCGCGGUAAUACGGAGGGUGCAAGCGUUACUCGGAAUCACUGGGCGUAAAGAGCGCGUAGGCGGGAUAGCAAGUCAGAUGUGAAAGGCUAUGGCUUAACCAUAGAACUGCAGUUGAAACUGUGAUUCUAGAGUAUGGGAGAGGUAGGUGGAAGUCUUGGUGUAGGAGUAAAAUGCGUAGAGAUCGAGAGGAAUACUCAUUGCGAAGGCGAGUUGCUAGAACAUAACUGACGCUGAUGCGCGAAGGCGUGGGGAGCGAAAGGGAUUAGAUACCCCUGUAGUC
rnacentral:rRNA from 1 species